rnacentral:tRNA from 1 species
GAUUGUUCAGCUUAAUGGUAGAGUAUGCAUCCAGUACCUGAAGGAUACAAGUUCGAAUCCUGUAACCAUCU